CCCCUUUGAGCGAGGCUAAGCGAGUGGGGGGAAAGUUUCAGUGCAUUCCGUUGAUGUAGACGGCGUGAAAACGGAAACAAGAAGUAUGCCGGCUCACUGUGCUGCAUACAGUUACACACUACGUCGUACGAUUGAGACAAGGAAACUCGGAAUGACUUUUCAUAGGUUUCCCAGAGACUAUGGGUUGAGGAGGAAGUGGAAGUUUGUCGGCUUAGACCUGGUGUCAUUCCAUCAGUGUUAAACUUCCCGGCUCAUCUUGGAAGAGUACGUGCCAGAAAGACCACGACCAAGCAGCCUUGAGAUCUUAGGCAGCGUCUCCCUGAGGUCCCUCUCUAUCUCCCCACACAUCCACCAACCACUGGAACACAUCUCCAAAGUUCUGCCAGGCCAGCUCAGCUUCCCCUCAGAAGAAGUCACCUGCCAGAUGAAGGAGCCUUUUGAGAGGCAGCUGGCAUCGUGAUUGGACUGUACUUUGGUCUGUUCCAAUCCAGCUUCAGCUCCAGAGACGGCAGGCGGGACGAGUCAACGGAGGCCUGGUGGACGAAGACAUGCAGCUGAGUACAAUCCAGAAAACAACAGAGGAGGAGUGCAGUGGCCCAGUGCCAGAACAACCAGAGUAGCAUCACCAAAGAACUACAGACUCUUCACAACCUGCUCAAACUCUUGGUACAGGACCUCACCACACGGGUCAAGAAGGUUUCCAUCUCAUUUCUACUCUGAAGCUCACCUUCUCCUGCUCAAACUGCUGACAAAUGUUUCUGCUGCUCUAAAGUCUGG
ensembl:lncRNA